CGCGGGGUAGAGCAGAAGGUCAGCUCGCCAGCCCCAUUAGCUGGAGGUCAGAGGUUCGAAUCCUCUCCCCGCUACCA
rnacentral:tRNA from 1 species